UACAGAGGGUGCGAGCGUUAAUCGGAAUUACUGGGCGUAAAGCGCGCGUAGGCGGCUUUGCAAGCCGGAUGUGAAAUCCCCGGGCUUAACCUGGGAACUGCAUUCGGGACUGCAUUGCUAGAGUAUGGGAGAGGGAAGUGGAAUUUCAGGUGUAGCGGUGAAAUGCGUAGAUAUCUGAAGGAACAUCAGUGGCGAAAGCGACUUCCUGGACCAAUACUGACGCUGAGGCGCGACAGCGUGGGGAGCAAACAGG
rnacentral:rRNA from 1 species